GUUGGACACGGACGGCGUCGACCUGCUGGUGUCGUUCCUCAAAUACGAGUCGAAAAGGAGGAUCUCCGCCGACGAAGCCGCGAGGCGGCCGUUCUUCGGGAGCCUGGGGGCUCGCGCGCGCACGCUGCCAGAAAACGUCUCCAUCUUCGCGUUAAAGGAGGUCCGCUUGCAGAGAGAGCCCGGCUGCCGGAACUCCUCGUACCCCGAGUCAGGUAACGGCAAGAGCAGAAGACAAAGCAUGCUCUUUUAGAUUCUUGGGACUCUCGUCUGGAGUUUUUCUCCAAGAUGAUUUGGAAAGAAUCUCUUGAGUUUCUUUCUGGAUAUGGUGGUGGAGCAUCAUCAACCUCAGCCUCACCCCCCCCCCCCCCCCCCCCACCCCCCUGCCCCCGCCCUGACCUGGAGAUUCGAGAUAUUUAUAAAGAAGAGAGAAAGUGCUGCUAAAAUCCCAACGUCACUUUAAGGACAUGCACCGUGGAGAGAUUUGCAAGCUUUUUGACGUGGCCAACUGUGUUGUUGUGAUCUUCCUCGUUUUUCAUACGUACAACUCUACGGGGGGGGUUCAUUGCCUCUUCAAAUGUUUUGGACUCCCUUGCCCUUCAUCCUUGACUCAAUGUUUGGCCAUGUAUUUUGCAGGACGUUGUUUGUGUAUAAUUGUUUCUGCCGCUAUGUGGAAUUUUAUUGCCGAUGCCCUCUCCUGAGUAGAGGGCAAGGAAAAUGAAAUUGAAAGUUUCAACAGAACAUGAUUUAUGAUUUUUACUCUUCAUGGUUAAAAAAAAAAAAAAAGUCACAGCAUUCAAGCAUUUAAUGCUCAGUUUAUUGAAAAUGGACGACAUUCUUAAUCUUCACAAUACAAAAUUAAACCGAAUACAUACUGUAUACCACGUCCAGUAUAAAAAAAGAGGAAGAACUAAAAAUAAAAAAAAAUAA